rnacentral:lncRNA from 1 species
CCUUCCCACCCAUUAGAGGUUAUUUAAGCUUGUGGAUCGAUCACGAAUGCUUAUUGCGUGCUAUUACCCGUCCCGUCCUAUAGAUCCUUGAGGGCAUUUAGGAUCACUAUUCCUAUAGGGUUGGAACUAAGCCGAACCCUUAAGAUUAAAGGUAAAAAUACUAGGAGACAUACAAAAAUAGAUAGGACUUGCAUACAAAGGAACCAUAUAAGACAUGUAAAGGCUCAAAUAACCUUCUAUAAGAAAACACAUAAUUAGCACGUCUCAAAUACAUGUAAGGUCUAAGGAAGAGAGAGAGUUUUAAAAUCUGGAGUAUGAAUUGAAACAGGAGUGAGGGAAUUUGCAAAAAAAAAUAAGGGAAAAAUGUUCAAAACUUAAGAGAGGCAGUAUAAGUUUAUUUUUUAGAAAUCUGCAGAAGUCAUUUAGAAACAUUUGGAAGGCCUAGUAAAAUAGUUUUAGUCAGGCAGAGUAAAAGAAUGAGCGUGAAAGCAUUAUGAAGUUACACAAUAGUAAACGUACAAGCCAUUUGAGCUUUUGAAAAUUAGUACGCAGACAGUUGAAAUAGUGGUCUAAUGUGGACAGGAAAUGCAGUAAGACCUUUUUGCAUAGAUGAUUGUUUUAAAAAUGUGGCAGAAGUUUGUAAAAAAAAUAGAGAGGGCUUCCAAAAACAAACGGAUUAAUACAGAGGCGAAUUAACUUGAACAAGACUUGAAGGUGAUUAGCCCAUUUUAUCCUCUUAUCCGGCCUAAGGUUUGCCGUUAUUAAAAAUGGUGAGCAUGCAAUGGUUUCUGAUUUUAACAAGGAGUUUGCUAACCAGUUUUACAUUUCUGUUUAGCAAGAUUAGUGAGGCAUUCAACAAUUGCAAAAAGAGGACCCUAAGCACAUGAUAUCUAAUGCAUAUAGAGGCCGUAAAGCAUGGUAUCUAAAUGCAAGGCAGUAAUUUUGAUUAUUAACUGAAAAAUAACAAGCUGAAAGUAAAAGACCUAAAAGCAGGAUUUCUACGUGUGAGAUGCAUGUCUUAUACAUGGUUUUUAUUACGCAAAUAAAUAAGUAAAACCCUAUAGCAUGAUUUUUACCCAUAUCUUUAAUAAUCAUGCAUACUCUCCUCAAUUUCACUAUAAUCCCCCAUUGUUCUUUACAAAUUAUUACAUCCAAGUAAUUUAAAAUACAACUGUGAUAAAAGGAAAAUAAGAAGUUAUUCUAUAGAGAGCCUUCAGCCAGGCCCAAGCAUCUCCAACCUCACUCUUUUUGAGUUUCACAGCCAUUACCAAGGCUUGGGUGCGGCAAAG